rnacentral:lncRNA from 10 species
UGUGUGUGUGUGUGUGAUAUGUUAGGGGCAGCAGGUUUUUCCUUAACGCCAGGAAUCAUUCAGGCUGACUUUGUUCAGCUGGAAUAAUUUCAGGCAUCGUGAUACAGUUGAAAGGAAAGAGGAUGAACAUUAAAAUAAGGAAGGCCUCAAUUUGAAUCUCGCUUCUGACAGUACUCGAACGAUCUUAGACUAAGUGAUUUCACUCUGACUCCCAGUUGUCUCUUUUAUAAUGUGAGGGUAAUUAACUAUUGUAAAGAUUAUUGUAAGAGCUAGAUGAGAUCACAGGACACACCAUAAGGGCUCAGUGGGGCUGGAAUGCGUGAAGUCCUCUUUGGAGCAGUCAGGCCUGAUGGACCCCGUGCCUGGGCUCGAAGACACCUACACACACUCCCAGGGCCCCCACUGCUUAUAACUGUUUCUGGAAAGAACUGAGCAUGAAACUUGGCAGGAGACCACAAAACGUCCUGGAAUCCUGGCCACUGUCAAGUCUAGAAUGCUCUCCUCCAGAGAAUCACAUUCUUGGGGCCAGUGUUGGAGCAUGGAAGACUUAGUUGGGGAUUGGAACUGCUCCAGCCCUGAAGCCCUCCUUCCUGUCCCUGUAACCAGCAAAUGUCACUGUCUGUCUUGCCAGGCUAACAACCUUUCUCAUAAGCAUCACCAAACCUGACCAGACAUCAGUCCUCUGAAAAGAAUCAUAAUCCAGCCACCAUAAACCCAAAAGCCAAAGUGGUAAUUAUCUAAAGAUGAGGAAAGGUUUCCUCCCAGGCCCUCCAGGGGCCAAGGAAGUUCUCACAUUAAACAGUUACACUGAUCUCCAUUGAUUUCUUCAGUCCAUCAACCAAUUAUUGGCAACUUUUUCUUGGAAACCUACUGUAUGUGAGGUACCGGGAUGACAGUGGUGGACAGGUAGACACCCUCCACCUUCAUGGAAUAACAUAUUUGCAGGGGGGUGCAUUGGCAGUUAAUUGGUUAAUUUAUUAAAAUUGUGCUAUGAGCCAAAAUGAUGUAAUAGAUGUCUUUGAAGAGCCCACAGUUGGUUGUGGGUCCAGGAGGCCUUCUCUGAGGAGGUGACAUUUAAGCUGAGAAUGGAAGGAGGAACAGAAGGGGGUCAGAGACAGCCUCCAGGUGGACCAUACAGCCAGGCAAAGGCCCUGGGCGGCAAACAAGGAGCAUAGCUGGGAAGCAAAGAGUAGGAUGUGUGAUGACACCUGAGACUGGGCAGAGGCCAGACCCUGCAGGGCCUUGGAGGCCACACCAAAGAGCUGGGUCUUUGUCCUGAGAGCAAUGAGAAGCCAGAGAUGGGCUUUCAGCAGGGACGUGACAUGACCCAAUUGACCUUAUGAAAGAGAACUCUGACUGCUCUCUGGAUAAUAACCUUUCCCUCCCUUUAACACAGUCCAGAAAAGGCAUGUGUGGGGGUGGGGAGCCGGCUGGAUUUUUCUGGAGGACUUUCUUUAUAAACUGCUUUAAAUAGAAAUGAGAGGAAGCAAACAAAUGAUAGCUCUGUCCAUCCAGGCCUUAAUUUUUCUAAACAAACAAGAACCAUGGGCAACUGCAGGCAAAAGUGUUUCCACCCUUGAGGUCUUGAAAAGAAAAGUCCCAGUCUGUUUCACCUCUUCCUCAGAAGUGCAGGGAACAGUGUGUG